CAAAUUUGAAAUCUGGCUCCUUUGGGGUCCGAGUUGUAAUUUGUAGAGGAUGCUUCGGGUGCGGCACCGGUCUAAGUCCCUUGGAACAGGGCGUCAUAGAGGGUGAGGAUCCCGUAUGUGACCGGCGACCAAGCCCAUGUGAAGCUCCUUCGACGAGUCGAGUUGUUUGGGAAUGCAGCUCAAAAUGGGUGGUAAAUUUCAUCUAAAGCUAAAUACCGGCCAGAGACCGAUAGCGCACAAGUAGAGUGAUCGAAAGAUGAAAAGCACUUUGGAAAGAGAGUCAAAAAGUACGUGAAAUUGUUGAAAGGGAAGCGCUUGUAACCAGACCUGCCGUCGGGUGCUCCGCGGGCAUUCUUGCCCGUCUACUCACCCGCGAUCAGGCCAGCAUCGGUUUUGGCGGCCGGAUAAAGACUCGAGGAAUGUAGCUUCGCUUCGGGGAAGUGUUAUAGCCUCUUGUGCAAUACGGCCAGCCGGGACCGAGGACCGCGCUUCGGCUAGGAUGCUGGCGUAAUGGUUGCAAGCGACCCGUCUUGAAACACGGACCAAGGAGUCUAACAUCUAUGCGAGUGUUUGGGUGUCAAACCCAUGCGCGGAAUGAAAGUGAACGGAGGUGGGAACCCUCAAGGGCGCACCAUCGACCGAUCCGGAAGUUUACGGAUGGAUUUGAGUAUGAGCAUAGCUGUUGGGACCCGAAAGAUGGUGAACUAUGCCUGAAUAGGGUGAAGCCAGAGGAAACUCUGGUGGAGGCUCGCAGCGGUUCUGACGUGCAAAUCGAUCGUCAAAUUUGGGUAUAGGGGCGAAAGACUAAUCGAACCAUCUAGUAGCUGGUUCCUGCCGAAGUUUCGUAAGUUCUUCCGAGGACCACCCCCUAUGAACUCUUGCUAACAAUCUCAACAGCCUCAGGAUAGCAGUAACGUUUUCAGUUUUAUGAGGUAAAGCGAAUGAUUAGAGGCCUGGGGGAUGAAACAUCCUUCACCUAUUCUCAAACUUUCAAUAUGUAAGAAGUCCUUGUUACUUGGUUGAACGUGGACAUUUGAAUGCACCGUUACUAGUGGGCCAUUUUUGGUAAGCAGAACUGGCGAUGCGGGAUGAACCGAACGUGGGGUUAAGGUGCCGGAAUGUACGCUCAUCAGACACCAAGGGGAAGACUUGUGGUGUCUGGCCGGGGGAUAGACCCCCGGCAUCAGUCUGCGAAAGGCGAGGUCUUUGACCUGUAGGGGUCCGCGGUCGCUCCGGCGAUGGCUUACCCUCUGCUGUCCCAUGACCUGGGCAGCUCACAGAUCAAGCAAAGGCCGGCGGCAGUACGCCGUUGGAGAUAUGAUCGGCCCUCGAAGG
rnacentral:rRNA from 1 species